UACGUAGGGGCUAGCGUUGUCCGGAAUCAUUGGGCGUAAAGAGCGUGUAGGCGGCCCGGUAAGUCCGCUGUAAAAGUCAAAGGCUCAACCUUUGAAUGUCAGUGGAUACUGCCGGGCUAGAGUCCGGAAGAGGCGAGUGGAACUCCUGGUGUAGCGGUGGAAUGCGCAGAUAUCAGGAAGAACACCAACGGCGAAGGCAGCUCGCUGGGACGGUAACUGACGCUGAGACGCGAAAAGCGUGGGGGAGCGAAACAGG
rnacentral:rRNA from 1 species